UAAAACAUGCAAGUCGGACGGUAAGGCUCACUUCGGUGAGUACACGAGUGGCGAACGGGUGCGUAACGCGUAUGCAACCUACCUUUAACAGAGAGAUAGCCCCGAGAAAUUGGGAUUAAUAUCACAUAAUAUCAUAAUGCAACCUUGUAUAAUGAUUAAAGCUCCGGCGGUUAAAGAUGGGCAUGCGUAGCAUUAGUUUGUUGGUAAGGUAACGGCUUACCAAGACUACAAUGCUUAGGGGUUCUGAGAGGAUUAUCCCCCACACUGGUACUGAGACACGGACCAGACUCCUACGGGAGGCAGCAGUGAGGAAUAUUGGGCAAUGGACGCAAGUCUGACCCAGCCAUGCCGCGUGCAGGAUGACACCCUAGUUGGUUGUAAACUGCUUUUAUACAGGAAGAAAAGUCCCUACGUGUAGGGACCUGACGGUACUGUAAGAAUAAGGAUCGGCUAACUCCGUGCCAGCAGCCGCGGUAAUACGGAGGAUCCAAGCGUUAUCCGGAUUUAUUGGGUUUAAAGGGUGCGCAGGCGGAAUAGUAAGUCAGUGGUGAAAUCCUACGGCUCAACCGUAGAACUGCCAUUGAUACUGCUGUUCUUGAGUUCAGAUGAGGUAGGCGGAAUGUGUCGUGUAGCGGUGAAAUGCUUAGAUAUGACACAGAACUCCGAUAGCGAAGGCAGCUUACCAAACUGACACUGACGCUGAGGCACGAAAGCGUGGGGAGCGAACAGGAUUAGAUACCCUGGUAGUCCACGCUGUAAACGAUGAUCACUAGUUGUUGGCGAUAUAUUGUCAGCGACCAAGCGAAAGCGAUAAGUGAUCCACCUGGGGAGUACGAUCGCAAGGUUGAAACUCAAAGGAAUUGACGGGGGCCCGCACAAGCGGUGGAGCAUGUGGUUUAAUUCGAUAAUAAGCGAGGAGCCUCACCAGGACUUGACAUAUAGCUGGCAUAGAGUAGAAAUAUUCUUUUCCUUAGGGACUAUUUACAAGGUGCUGCAUGGUUGUCGUCAGCUUCGUGCCGUGAGGUGUCGGGUUAAGUCCCAUAACGAGCGCAACCCCCUACCCUUAGUUGCCAGCGGGUCAUGCCGGGGACUCUAGGAAAACUGCCAGCGUAAGCUGUGAGGAAGGUGGGGAUGACGUCAAAUCAGCACGGCCCUUACGUCUAGGGCUACACACGUGCUACAAUGGCCGGUACAGAGGGCAGCUACCACGUGAGUGGAUGCGAAUCUCCAAAGCCGGUCUCAGUUCGGAUCGAAGUCUGCAACUCGACUUCGUGAAGUUGGAUUCGCUAGUAAUCGUAUAUCAGCAAUGAUACGGUGAAUACGUUCCCGGGCCUUGUACACACCGCCCGUCAAACAAUGGAAGCUGGGGGUACCUAAAGUCUGUCACCGGUAAGGAAGCGGCCUAGGGUAAAACUAGUAACUGGGGCUAAGUCGUAACAAGGUAGCU
rnacentral:rRNA from 1 species